UACAGAGGGUGCAAGCGUUAAUCGGAUUUACUGGGCGUAAAGGGCGCGUAGGCGGCCUGUCAAGUCAAUUGUGAAAUCUCCGGGCUUAACUCGGAACGGUCAAUUGAUACUGUCAGGCUAGAGUGCAGAAGGGGCAAUCGGAAUUCUUGGUGUAGCGGUGAAAUGCGCAGAUAUCAGGAGGAACACCAAUUGCGAAGGCAGCUCGCUGGGACGUUACUGACGCUGAGACGCGAAAGCGUGGGGAGCAAACAGG
rnacentral:rRNA from 1 species